AUACGGAGGGCGCAAGCGUUGUUCGGAAUCACUGGGCGUAAAGGGCGCGCAGGCGGUUUGGUAAGUCAGAUGUGAAAGCCCACGGCUCAACCGUGGAAGUGCAUUUGAAACUGUCAGACUAGAGUACUAGAGGGGAAAGUGGAAUUCCCGGUGUAGAGGUGAAAUUCGUAGAUAUCGGGAGGAAUACCGGUGGCGAAGGCGACUUUCUGGCUAGAUACUGACGCUGAGGCGCGAAAGCGUGGGGAGCAAACAGGAUUAGAAACCCUAGUAGUCC
rnacentral:rRNA from 1 species